AGAUUCAGUGGGCAGGUGCGG
rnacentral:misc_RNA from 1 species